rnacentral:rRNA from 1 species
AUUGAACGCUGGCGGCAGGCUUAACACAUGCAAGUCGAGCGAGUGGCGGACGGGUGAGUAAUGUCUGGGAAACUGCCUGAUGGAGGGGGAUAACUACUGGAAACGGUAGCUAAUACCGCAUACUAUCAGAUGUGCCCAGAUGGGAUUAGCUAGUAGGUGGGGUAAUGGCUCACCUAGGCGACGAUCCCUAGCUGGUCUGAGAGGAUGACCAGCCACACUGGAACUGGGACACGGUCAAGACUCCUACGGGAGGCAGCAGUGGGGAAUAUUGCACAAUGGGCGCAAGCCUGAUGGAGCCAUGCCGCGUGUGUGAAGAAGGCCUUCGGGUUGUAAAGUACUUUCAGCGAGGAGGCGUUACUCGCAGAAGAAGCACCGGCUAACUCCGUGCCAGCAGCCGCGGUAAUUC